CUGGAAGAGCCAGAACACAGAAGGGAGCCUCCGUAUCUUGCCAGGUGGCCACAGGAAAAGACAUGAAUCCCAAGUGUUGAGAUCAGACCGGUCCUUAUCUCCUGGAGCCUGAAAAAAACGGGCCUCGGACACACACAGGAACUGGCCCGGUGGCCUGCAAGCAGCAGAACCCGUCUGUAUAUCCGUUUCCUCUUUAGUAGCCAUCGGCAGUGGUCUCUGCUCACCCCAGUGCUGACAGGAGCUAUUCACCAUGCUUCUUAAACUAUUUUAAGCUGGGCAUGAUGGCGCACACCUUUAACCUCAGCGCUCAGAAAGCAGAGGCAGGUGGAUCUCUGAAUUUGAGUCUAGCCUGAUCUACAUAGAGAGUUGCAGGGCAGCCAGGGCUACAUAGAGAGACUCUGUAUAGAAACAACAAAAAUAAAAAAAGUGGGCUUGCUUACAUGU
rnacentral:lncRNA from 1 species